CAACCUUGAGUAUAAGCGAGUCGCGUCAAGAGUCGAAAAUCGGAGCAGUUCUGAAAUCGCUGGAGAUAAACGUAUACGAGCUUUCGUAUAAAACCUCUACGAAACAUAUGCAGUACUAUCGUACCUGCGGAAGGUAAUAAUCGAGGAGACGGUGAGGCGAUCGGGUUGGAUUUCUCCAUGUGACGAAACAGAGGAAGAAAGCAGAGAACAACAAAACUGAACUUACAGUUUUCGGGUGUUUGCCAAGUCUCGGGAAAGUUGCCCGUACGGGAACAACCAAAGCCUGCGAGCAUGAUCUAAGCUUUAUAUACAGCCCCGGCGCUUGGCGUCGAGACGCCCCACCACACGAGAAACUUUAAAGAGCAUCAUCAUCGAGGCACGAGUGUAUAUCUAUAUGCAUAUAUAUUUAUAUUAUAUGUGUAACGGAGGCAUCAAGCCAUAAUAUCGUCGACCCUAUCUCAUAUCUGCGGAACUCCGUGCGUGCGCUGUUGCGCCGCCAUUAUUAUCACCACCAUCAUCAUCAUCGGCGUCGUCGUCGUCGUCGUCGUCGUCAUCGUCAUUCUCAAAAAUUCACCGGGCAUAUAUUCCCCGCUUCUUGGUUAACGUGUAUAAAUCACUUCUAGGUAUCAUCCUCCUCCGAGCAACGAGUUUUCAUUAUCUAUAGUGUACAUACGUAUGAAUGAAUAAAUAUUACUUCACACCUU